ensembl:lncRNA
CUCUAAUUCAAGCCAGGAGUCAAAAUGAUCAUCUUAUUUCUUUCCAUUAUUUUAAAAUGUUUUCUGGUUUCAGGCUCCUCUCUCAGUGACAAAGUCCACCAGAGACCAGCUGAUAUUUAUAUAAAUUCCACAGAUACAGCCGAAAUCUACUGUUCACACAGAAUAGACAGCUAUGAUCAAAUCCUUUGGUACAAGCAGUUAAAGAACAAGCAGCUACAGUUCCUGGGACGCUUGUACACAAGCAUGGCAAAUGUAGAGACCGGAGUGAACGUGUCAAUAACUGGGAGUGCAGAUAAAGACAAAACCUGCACAUUAACUGUUAAACAUGUCACCCUGAACAGUGGUGCUGUGUACUUCUGUGCUGCUAGAUACCACAGCGCUACAUAUCACGG